CCUACGGGGGGCUGCAGUGAGGAAUAUUGGUCAAUGGACGAGAGUCUGAACCAGCCAAGUAGCGUGAAGGAUGACUGCCCUAUGGGUUGUAAACUUCUUUUAUAUGGGAAUAAAAUGUUCCACGUGUGGGAUUUUGUAUGUACCAUAUGAAUAAGGAUCGGCUAACUCCGUGCCAGCAGCCGCGGUAAUACGGAGGAUCCGAGCGUUAUCCGGAUUUAUUGGGUUUAAAGGGAGCGUAGGUGGAUUGUUAAGUCAGUUGUGAAAGUUUGCGGCUCAACCGUAAAAUUGCAGUGGAAACUGGCAGUCUUGAGUACAGUAGAGGUGGGCGGAAUUCGUGGUGUAGCGGUGAAAUGCUUAGAUAUCACGAAGAACUCCGAUUGCGAAGGCAGUUCACUGGACUGCAACUGACACUGAGGCUCGAAAGUGUGGGUAUCAAACAGGAUUAGAUACCCCUGUAGUG
rnacentral:rRNA from 1 species